rnacentral:tRNA from 1 species
GUUUCCGUAGUGUAGUGGCUAUCAUGUUUGCCUGACACGCAAUAGGUCCUGAGUUCAAAACUGGUCGGAAACA